ACUCAAUCCUUCUUUUUUAGCUCAGAAUCCUUCUUCAUCGUUUUCAAAUCUUGAGUUUUUUUUUUACAAUGUCUUCUUCAAGGAGAGUGUAUAAACAAUUUGAGAAGCAACAGAAAAGAUUGUUGACACAACAGGAAGAAUUGGUCAAUCUCGAGGAAGGUGGAGGUGGAGAUAAGGCUUUCGCAAUGAGGAGGAUGAGGAUGAUGACCAUACAAGGCAGAGGGCCUCAUAUUCCCGCCAUGUCAUGGAAGUUGUGGGUCAGAUAGCCAAAUCGAGACAUGCCGCAAACUUCGAUAGAAAAAGGGAAAGACAAGGAUUUUGCUGUAAAUAUUCAAUCCAAAUUGUUUUUUUUUUCAUUUACAAUAAAAUGGAUCGAAGCUUGAGCAUGCCAAACCCUAGUAGCGACAGAGACAGAAAAAUCGUAAUCGGCAAGAGUUCUGUAACUCCCUCCCUCGUGAGAGUCUUUCUUUCCUUCCAUGUGACAGUUUUUCUUCGUCUCUAAUUAUUCAUGAACAGUGACAGGUUUCCUUGAUGCAUUGGCAAUGCUAACCCAACUGGUCGCAAUCCCUCGGUAUUUUGCAUAAAGGAUCAAGCUGGAAUUUUUCUUCGAGUUGUUGUACACCUACAGAACAUUUACUUGAUUAUUAACUAGAAAAUAUAUAUGCAUGUGGAAAAUGUAAGAAGAAGAUGGAGAAAAAUUGUAGAUAAUUAAAUAUAUGCACGGAGGGAAUAUAUGUUUUUUUUUU